AAGAUUGUAGAAAGAUUGUAGAAAGAUUGUAGAAAGACUGUAGAAAGAUUGUAGAAAAUGAUAAAAAAUGUUAUUUACCAACAUAAUAAUAAAUUAGGGUUAUAUAUAAUAUCAAAGCAAAGCGCUAAAAAAAAAGAUAUAAAUAAAAGUGUAAAUGAUAUAGAAACAUGUUCCAAUACAUGUGUAAAUUACAAUAUAAACACAAAUACAUUUAAUAAAAUUGAGUUUUAUAAUGAGGAUUAUAUUAGCGAAACUAAUUUAAACAAACAUAUAGUUAAUGCUCUUUUGAAAAGCUAUUUAGAAAAAAAAAAUGGAUGUGUAUUAUCUUUUAUCAAUUUAUCGGAGCAGUUAAAAAAACAAUCAAAUAAUAUACAACAUGAUAUAAACAGUAAUAAAAAAAAUUAUAACAAUAAAUUUUACAAUAAUUUAAAUGACACAAAUACAAACAUUAUUUUAAAUAAUUUUUUUACAAAAGUAAAUGAAACUACAGUUAAACAAAAACAAAAUUAUUCAUUACAGUAUGUCCUACUUGGAAAUUUUUAUUAUUAUGAUUUAUUAGAAAAUUAUCAUGAACUUACUGAGAAUUAUCAAAAAAUUAAAAGCUGUGCUUUAAAAGGUGAUGAAAAAACAAACAACAUAAAAAAUAAUAGGACCUAUGAUUGUCGCACUGACAAUUAUAAAAAAACAAAUGUCCCUGUUUAUAACGAAUUAAACAUUUUUAAAAGAAAAAACAAAAAAAUCGAUUUUAUAAAUGCCAAAAAAUUAAAAGACAUAUUUUGUUAUGUGGAAAAACAAGAAAAUGUGUUAAAAGGGAAAUCAAAUAAUAUGAAUAGUGACAGUAGCAGUAAUAGUGACCCCUUUUAUUUGACAUUAAUACAUUUAAACAUCAGUAACAAUAUAGAAGAAGGUAAUACCUGCAUAUUUGAAACAAAUAUGUCGUAUAAUACUAAUAAACAAAUAAAAAUAAAUAAUAAUAGUAUUAAUACUAGUGUAACAAACAGCUUUUAUUUUAUUAACGUUUAUUACAUAAACAAUAAUGAAAAUGCAGUAGAAAAUGGAAAAAAUAAACGACAACAGCAGCAAACAGUAGUAACAGAUUAUGAAUUAAAAAAGGAUAAAUCCGAAACAAACAAACUAAAACAGUUACUAUCCAUGUUUAGUAACAUAAUUAAUAAUUAUGAUAAAGAAGGAAGUACAAAUAUAGAUAGUACAGAUUUUAAAAUAAUAUCGCAUAUAUUUUCUGAAAUUUAUAAGGAUGUUACUACUAAUAUUUUUUUAAAGAUUGUUUUAGAUAAUUCUAUUAAAGAUUCUACAAACAAAACGAAUGAAGAACUUAUGUUAAAUUUUGUUUACUCUAUUAACUUAAAUAUGAAAAACAUACUGAAUAAUGACAACAAUAAAAAUAUAAAUAAUUCAGAAAACGUACAUACUAAUUUGAAAGAAAAUGAAAAUAAAGAUUUUUUAAUAUUAAAAGAUGAAAAAUAUUAUAAAAUAUGUAACAUGUUAUUUAAUAACAUUGAUUUGGAUGAAAAUGCAAAAUGUAAAAUUAUUAAAAAAAUUAUAACAUAUCCUGAACAAUAUUUUGAUAAAUUAUCACAUUUAAAAAAUAAAUUUGAACAUAAUUUUAACAUUUAUAAGGAUAAAGAAAAAGACAUUUAUAACGAAAUUUCUUAUCUUAUAAAAAAGCAAAAUUUAAUUAUAAAAAAAUACAAAGAAGAAGAAGAAAAAACAAAAAAUGAUAUUUUAAAUAUACUUGAACAAAUUACUCAUAUUAAUGAACAAAAUAUCGAAAUCAACAAUGAAAUAAAAAAAAAUCAAAAUUUAAAUGUUUCAUUUAUUAAAGAACAAAAAAAUUGGGA
ensembl:lncRNA